rnacentral:lncRNA from 1 species
AUGCUGAAGCAGCUUACCUGGAAUGUGCAGGGAGGCAAGCAGAGGAAUCCCUGGAGUUUUCCAGCAGGUUCCAGUAGGCUUUGCUCGUGCGGAAGGACGCAGGGAGGCUGGCGCUCGCUCUGUGCAGAAAACCAGGCAGAGCGCCUUCGAGGAGCCUUUCAGGGAAGGAGCCACAAACCUGUGAUGUGCAGCCAGCCUGGUCCAGUUCUGCCCCGGAGCGCACGGCAUGUCUGCAAAGGCCUUGGUGCCUCCGCAGGUUUAGUUCUCCGCUCAACUGCAGGCAGCAGCUUAGCCGAGAGCAGGGCAGCAGGAUGGGAGGAAACGCGCUGUGCGUGGAGAGGUGAACGCUGCUGCUGUGGCCRGGGAAAAUGYGCUGGGAYUGYRUGGGGGAAGUCCCCAGUUCUUGCUGCACCACGGUGCCACCUUGCCAAAAGCUGUACAGAGCUUGGGAAAAUGUAAGUGGCUCCGUGUCGCGCAGCGGGCACUGCUGUGAAGCCCUGUCCAGAGGGCCCAKCCGGGAGCGGCAGUCCAAGAAAAGCCUUUUGCCCUGGAGAAGUGUCGCUGCUCGAGCUGAGACUCGCAGUCCUGCUUUCUGUGUGUGGAAACAGCGUGUGCUGGUGUGCUUUAGAUCAGCCUGACCUUGUACUUCACUAACUACUGCAAGCAGUCACGGACAAAUCUUUGUUUGAUCAAAACCAAUAUAAAUUUUAUUUUUCUACUGACAUGUCUAAUCUUGGUGGUGAUCACCAGUAAAUUCUGUAACGAUUAAGGUGARCGGUUUCUUUCCUUGACCUGUCGUGGUGGGUCUCGCCUUGGGGACAAUGGCCGAAUCGCUCUCCUGCGAUGGCUAGAGUUGCAGCCGGUUCAGCAUGCUCCUUCCUCCUGGCUUCGGUCCUGUGGUUUCUUCCGCCUGUCCUUGCUGCCCUGAUGCUGGCCGGGGCUUUGUGUUUAAUCAAACGAGCCUUUGCUCAGACGAUGUAACCCCAGGACCUUGAGGAUGGCCCGCCUCGUGGCACUGGGGCUCGGGGAGAGCUGCUGGCCCAUGUAGAUGACCGCUUCCCUGGCGUCGCUCAGGCGCCACAUCCUGCCGUGGGUGUCCGACCCCUGCUGCUCUUCUUCCUGCCCAUUGUCAUCAUCCUUCUCCGGAGGGAGGGGCUCAGGCUGCGGCUCCGCAUGGUGCUGGGUGGCCGGGGGAAGGCAGGGUGGAUGCKGAGCAGGGAGCUGAACGUGGGUCUCCUCAGGGUGCUGGCUGGGGGCUGAGACCAGUGCUUGGGGCACGUGUGCUCCCAGUGACUCCCCGGACAAGCUCCACUG